GACGGCGAGCGGCGGCAGACGACGGAGAGCGGCAGACGAGGGCCAGCCGACAGUAGCCGAAGCGCCAGCCGAGAUCAGAGACCUCUUCGACCGUUACUCCGAAAAUGGAAUCAUGACCGUCGAUCACCUUCACAGGUUCUUGAUCGAGGUUGAGGGAGAAGAUAAAGCCACAAAAGAAGACGCAGAGUCGAUCAUGGAGUCUCUCAAUGAACUCAAACACCUCAAUAUCUUCCAUCGCAAAGGUCUCCAUCUCGAAGCCUUCUUUCACUACCUCUUCAGCGACUCUAAUCCUCCUCUCUCUCCUUCUCCUAAGGCAUAGCCGUGGCAUCUCAAGCUUCUUCAGCUAAUAUAAAAAGGAAAACGGAGAAACAUGUUGAUGAUGGUGGUGGUGAUAUAGUUAAAGCAGUACCAAACCUGAAGUUGCUUCAGCAUCAUCAUUGCGAAGUGCUAGUGAGUAUGACAAUUCAACUCCAUUGGUCCAGGUUACGACAUACAAUAGCGUUGAAGUUCAGGAGUUCUCAUCUGAUGGCAAGAUUUGAAUAUUUUCCUCCCUGUUUUUAGCAGUAGUUGUGUAAUUAUUCUUAGAGCCUGUUUGGUGCAGCUUUUCCAAAGCUGUAAGUUGAUGAUAAAUAGAAGCUAAAAGAAUGAUUUCCCCAGCUUUUUUCAACUUUA